GUGCUUGCUUCAGCAGCACAUACACUAAACUUGGAAUGAUGCAGAGAAGAUUAGCAUGGCCCCUGCACAAGGAUGAAAUGCAAAUUCAUGGAGCAUUCCAUAUUUUA
rnacentral:snRNA from 1 species